rnacentral:misc_RNA from 1 species
UCGACCAUUAUGAUCCCUCUCUAAAAAAGAGGAGGCCUUAGCAGUCCGAAAGGAUCAGACGCCGCGACUCGAAACCAAAGGCGUCUCUCAUGCUAGUCUCAUACGUGAGGCCACACCUGUCAAAUUGCGGGGAGUAUCUUUCGCAGCCGCGACUACUUCUUGUUCGCUGGGAAACGGCGAGCAAUGCCCGGGGUAAUGACCUAGGGGACAGUAAAAACGUCACGGCUUUACGAUUAAUCCGCAGCCAAGUCCCGGAACGGGGAUGCAGUUCACAGACUCAAAUGGCGGUGGGUUGGAGUUUUUUCUCAUCUUAAGGUAUAGUCGAUGCUAAAAAAACGCUCCGUAGGUGAACCUGGGGAGGGAUCAUUAACACAAUCCCAAUAUCCUCCGGGAUAUUCGCCCCCUACGAACGUGUGUUUUCUUUUUUUUUCUUUCAUUUUAAGACCCCAUUGAACCCAUUCGGGCUGAGUUGAAUCAGAAAAACGCUGAAACAACUCUUAGCAACGGAUAUCUUGGUUCUCGCAUCGAUGAAGACGCAGC